rnacentral:lncRNA from 1 species
AAAAAACUCUCAUUUGUCUUCUCUUCUUCCAUGGAAAUUUUAAGUCAAUAUGUAUUGUCAGAAACUAUAUUCUCAUUUCAUUAAAUAAAAUGGAAGUUACAUAACCAAACCGGAAAAUACAUGUGAACACGAGCAAAAAGAUCCCUAAAAACUUAAAAUUACCCAGCUACUCUCCAGCUCCCUAAAAACUUAAAAUUCAUCUCCGGAAAAUACAUGUGAACACAAGCAAAAAGAUCCCUAAAAACAUAAAAUUCAUCUCCUCAAGAAGACAAAGCUACUCUCCAGCUCCCGAGCGCCGGUGGUGCUCGCCAUAUGUCAACUGGGGUUAAUCCCCGUGCCUUUGUGGUCGCGGAUCCGGCUGUACCCGCCGAAGUCAUCAGAGGGACACACCAUUUUCGCAACCAUCUGCCUCAAACCAUGCUCCUGAACGGCACUCUGUCUCCGAAGAAUCCAUUGAACCUGUAUUACCUGCGUGUUGAAAAGCUCUAAGAAUGGCUCAGAAAAUCAAAAACGAAAGGUAUGGGAAAUAUCAAAAGCAACAGGUGGAGGGAAACCUGGUGGAAGAUGCGGCUCACAGCCUGUCGAGGAUCCCACCGAUCUGAAGCGACGGAAUUCGACCAGGCGUGUCGUCAGGUGGAGGAUGAAGCGGGAUCUCGAGCACGCCCGUAGUCGUCACGCCCGGCCCAUCCAGCUUCGGUAUGAACCGUCGCUCAUUGCAGCAAGUGGGCACCAUCCACACCAACGGCAACGGCGCCGCGUGCACUAGUCUGCCUUCAGGGGCGUUCCCACCUGCGAGACGAGGCUAACAUCACGGAGGCAGAUGGUCAUUGUGGGAUGCAGAGGGGAAGAUGGUCGUGGAUGGCGAGGUCACGGCGGCUACUAACCCGGCGGUUGGGGUGCAGAGGGGAUGAUGGCCAUGGAUGGCAAGGUUGGGAUAGCUGCGGCCAUGGAUAGGGAGAGUGCCAUGAAGGGGGAGAGUGCCAUGGAGGGGGGAGGAUCUGGAGGAGGCCGACCGAGAUCCACUUCCUCACGGUGGAAGAGAAGAGGGCGUCUCAUGCGUGGGCGUGAGGAAGCAUAGAAAGAGGGGGAGCUUUCCUUGCCGUUGGAUCUCAGGUGGAAGGACGGUUCACAUCUGCGAUCCGUGGGAUGCUUAGUUCAACCAAUCAGAGCGCAGUUUUGACCUCACACUGGAUUGCCAAUUCGGCUGGAAACUAUAGCGGGCCACUGUUGAUAGUGAGGCCGACCCAGAAUUCAUUUUUUUCAGUUAUUCAAAUAACCCAAUAAGGCAUCCUUGUGGAGUAACUUGGAAAAAAGAAUUAUCAUAUAUAUCACAACAAAUUUUUCAUGUAAGUAUUGUUGCACACGAGGUGAACAACAAACUGGAAAAGCAUGUGUGCGUACUUUUCAUUUAGAUCUGGAACAUUAUUUUCGGCACAUAUUUGAAUAAAUGUUGUAAUAGACCAACAAUUUUUCCAAUAUAUUAUUUUCUUUUGAUGUACAAUUAUGUUUAUUAAAAUGUAUGAAUAUUUCUCAAAAGUACACAAACGUUGCAAAUUUUGAAGAAAGAUUAAUUUUGUGUUCCCAUAAACAAUUUGCAAAAGAUCAAUUGUUUGAUAUGGAUAAUCCAAACUCCUAUUUGCAACCUAUCAAAAAAUGGUUAACACAAAUAUGUUUUGUCAAACCAUUUUUUCCUGUAACACAACUUGAACUAUAUGAGCGCAUAGACUCAUUAACACAAAUAUGAUUUUUCAUGCACAUGUAGUUCAAAAAUGAAUUGUAUGCAUUAAAUGCCUAGAAACGUACUAAAGGAGUUAAAUAUAGCAAAGGACCCCCAAAAGGCCAAAUUUUGACAUGUAUCAUGUAAUUGUGUAUGUUUAGUGUAGAAAACAAUUCAAGGACAAUGGAUGAAGCAGUGGUCACUUCGCCUUCAAACCUGGUCGUUGCCUCUCGAAACCUAGAUUCUUUCGUGAGAUGAUCCAGUUUCAAAGCAGCGCAUGUUACAAUUUUUAUAAAACCUUCUCAAGUUUUUACCACAAGUUUUGGGUGUCAUGUGUGGGUACCAUGCCCAAUUUCAUGACUUUCAGACUUAGUUUGCAUUUUUUAGAAUUAAAAGGGUAUACUCCAUGCUCGGGAUCGUGUCUUAGCACCAUCAUGUUUAGAAUUUCUUUCCUUUUAUUGCAUAGGCCUAAACAUAGACUUGCUAACAAAAAUAUGAUUUUUCAAACAAAUUUUGUAAACUUUUUCGUGCACCUGCAAUUUAAAAUUGAAUUGUAUUCAUUAAUUGCGUUGAAUGACUUAAAUAUAACAAACUGACUCUGAAAAAAGUCAAAAUUUGAUAUGGUUUCAUGUAUUGGUGUAUGUUGCAUGCAAUUUGACCAAUAGAAAAAGCAAUGGUCGUUUCAUGUUCAAACCUGACCCGUCGCUUCUUGAAACCUAGUCUUUUGUUCUUUAGCUUAAAUUGGUUAAAAUAUAUUCUAUGUUGUGUUUCGAGUCAUCAGAAUACGCAUAGAACCUUUUUUUAAUAUAUUAAUAUAUUACUCAGUGCACAUUUUUUUAAUAUAUUAGCAUGUAUCUAUCCAUGAACCUCUUCAAGCGAUUUUCCCUUUCAUUUUUUAUGGAUUCAAACAAUUUUUCUGACAAUUGUUUUCAAUUUUCCAAGUACUACUAAUAUUCUUGAAUAAUUAUGUAGUAACAUUAAUACUUCUUGAAUAAGGAGUUUGACCAGAUUUAACCAAUUUUUUUUUUUUAAAAACUGAAAUUUGACCAUAUCUCUUUUCCUUUUAGAAUUUGAGGAUUCCAAAAAAUUCCAAACAGGCCAUCGGCCGUCUCCAUCGGAUGCGGAUUUUCGUGCUGAAUUUUUUGAUAUAUUAUGCGUUUUUUUCCGACAUCGUAUGCAAAAGUUAUAGCCGUUUUACAUUUUCCCUACACUUUUUGCAAAACAUGUCCAAAUUGUAGUUUUCAAAUUUUCCUAACUAGUAGAUGUAGUAAUAUAACUACCUCUCGAAGGAUUUUAUUUUUUGAAGUUUUUAUCAUUUUCUUUUGAUUUUUUCAGAACUGAAAUGGCGACACACGGGAGGAGGGGGGGAGAGUUUGAAAAUUGCCCUAUAGUGCCGGUUUGUGUCACAAACCGGUACUAUAGGUCAGACCCCUUUAGUACCGGUUCAUGGCACGAACCGGUACUAAAGGUGGUUCGUGCCACGAACCGGUACUAAAGGUGAUCGUGGGGCCUCGGCCUGACGCCAGCCUGCCACCACCCCUUUAAUACCGGUUCGUGUCACGAACUGGUACUAAAGGUUCAACACGAACCAGCAUUUAAUGCAAAUCCGUUUGAACCGGCACUAAUGGUACCAUUAGUACCGGGCCAAAAUCAAACAGGUACUAAUGUACUUCACGUUUGACCCUUUUUCUACUAGUGCAGGGAAUCUGGCCAUCAGCAGAUUCUAUUCUAAUGUGUAACUUAAUAUACAAAUUGAAUCAGUGGGACAACACAAUCACAGUAUAUUAGUGUGUAUUACUGGGACAAGUGAAUUAAAACAUGAUUUUUUUUGUUCAAUCUCGGCGCAAACAACACCGGCUCAAAUACCACAUGGGAGGUGAAACCAUGUUGCCAUCCACUUCGUCUCCCAACAACAACCAUCAGGCCUGUCAAGAACCGGAGGCGAAACUUCUAACGAUGGCCGCGUCAUGUAUAUCACGUCAUAAUUUGACGUCGUACCGUCCAUGACGGUGCUCGGCCGUCAUGGAUUUGCCCCAAGCAUGCUUAACGGAUAUGCUCAUAACGACAUUAACAGGUUUGCCACAUCAUCAUUUGACAUGGAUCAGACACAGCAACCCAUAUAGGAAUCAGCCCAGUUAAAAUUUUGGCCCACCGGGUCCAAUAGGGACGGCCCAAGCAAUCAACCCAAAUUAAAAAAUUCAGCCCAUUAAACUAUGAUCGUACCAAGGCCCACUAAUUCACUACAAGCCAUGCACCCACCUCUAAUCUAAUUUCUCUUCUCUUUAAAAAAAACUCUCAUUUGUCUUCUCUUCUUCCAUGGAAAUUUUAAGUCAAUAUGUAUUGUCAGAAACUAUAUUCUCAUUUCAUUAAAUAAAAUGGAAGUUACAUAACCAAACCGGAAAAUACAUGUGAACACGAGCAAAAAGAUCCCUAAAAACUUAAAAUUACCCAGCUACUCUCCAGCUCCCUAAAAACUUAAAAUUCAUCUCCGGAAAAUACAUGUGAACACAAGCAAAAAGAUCCCUAAAAACAUAAAAUUCAUCUCCUCAAGAAGACAAAGCUACUCUCCAGCUCCCCAGCGCCGGUGGCGCUCGCCAUAUGUCAACUGGGGUUAAUCCCCGUGCCUUUGUGGUCGCGGAUCCGGCUGUACCCGCCGAAGUCAUCAGAGGGACACACCAUUUUCGCAACCAUCUGCCUCAAACCAUGCUCCUGAACGGCACUCUGUCUCCGAAGAAUCCAUUGAACCUGUAUUACCUGCGUGUUGAAAAGCUCUAAGAAUGGCUCAGAAAAUCAAAAACGAAAGGUAUGGGAAAUAUCAAAAGCAACAGGUGGAGGGAAACCUGGUGGAAGAUGCGGCUCACAGCCUGUCGAGGAUCCCACCGAUCUGAAGCGACGGAAUUCGACCAGGCAUGUCGUCAGGUGGAGGAUGAAGCGGGAUCUCGAGCACGCCCGUAGUCGUCACGCCCGGCCCAUCCAGCUUCGGUACGAACCGUCGCUCAUUGCAGCAAGUGGGCACCAUCCACACCAACGGCAACGGCGCCGCGUGCACUAGUCUGCCUUCAGGGGUGUUCCCACCUGUGAGACGAGGCUAACAUCACGGAGGCAGAUGGUCAUUGUGGGAUGCAGAGGGGAAGAUGGUCGUGGAUGGCGAGGUCGCGGCGGCUACUAACCCGGCGGUUGGGGGGUGCAGAGGGGAUGAUGGCCAU